GACGAACGCUGGCGGCGUGCUUAACACAUGCGAGUCGAACGGAAAGGCCUGCUUUCCCUUGUGGAUUGCGGGUACUCGAGUGGCGAACGGGUGAGUAACACGUGAGUGAUCUGCCCCCAACUUGGGUAUAAGCCUGGGAAACUGGGUCUAAUUCCCGAUAGGGCUGCAGGGUGGUGCCUGUGGUGGAAAACGAUUUUCUAGUGGUUGGGGAUGAGCCCGCGGCCUAUCAGCUUGUUGGUGGGGUAAUGGCCUACCAAGGCGGCGACGGGUAGCCGGCCUGAGAGGGUGGACGGCCACAUUGGGACUGAGAUACGGCCCAGACUCCUACGGGAGGCAGCAGUGGGGAAUAUUGCACAAUGGGCGGAAGCCUGAUGCAGCGACGCCGCGUGGGGGAUGACGGCCUUCGGGUUGUAAACUCCUUUCGACCGCGAGGAAGCCACCUGGUUGGAAGGGUGGUGACGGUAGUGGUAGAAGAAGCACCGGCUAACUACGUG
rnacentral:rRNA from 1 species